rnacentral:tRNA from 1 species
CCCCUGAUGGUCUAGUUGGUUAUGGCGUCUGACUGUAAUAUCGUAUUGUGAUCAGAAAAUCCCUGGUUCGAUUCCGGGUCGGGGGA